rnacentral:rRNA from 1 species
UACGUAGGGUGCGAGCGUUAAUCGGAAUUACUGGGCGUAAAGUGUGCGCAGGUGGCUGAGCAAGUCGAGUGUGAAAGCCCCGGGCUUAACUUGGGAAUUGCGCUCGAAACUACUUGGCUCGAGUGUGGCAGAGGAAGGUGGAAUUCCACGUGUAGCGGUGAAAUGCGUAGAGAUGUGGAGGAACACCGAUGGCGAAGGCAGCCUUCUGGGCCAACACUGACGCUCAUGCACGAAAGCGUGGGGAGCAAACAGG